ACGAACGCUGGCGGCAGGCCUAACACAUGCAAGUCGAACGCUCGUAGCAAUACGAGAGUGGCAGACGGGUGAGUAACACGUGGGAACCUUCCCUAUGGUUCGGAAUAGCUCAGGGAAACUUGGGGUAAUACCGGAUAAGCCCUUCGGGGGAAAGAUUUAUCGCCAUUGGAUGGGCCCGCGUCGGAUUAGCUAGUUGGUGAGGUAACGGCUCACCAAGGCAACGAUCCGUAGCUGGUCUGAGAGGAUGAUCAGCCACACUGGGACUGAGACACGGCCCAGACUCCUACGGGAGGCAGCAGUGGGGAAUAUUGGACAAUGGGCGCAAGCCUGAUCCAGCCAUGCCGCGUGAGUGACGAAGGUCUUCGGAUUGUAAAACUCUUUUGGCGGGGACGAUAAUGACGGUACCCGCAGAAUAAGCCCCGGCUAACUUCGU
rnacentral:rRNA from 1 species